rnacentral:rRNA from 1 species
CCUACGGGAGGCGGCAGUGAGGAAUAUUGGUCAAUGGCCGUAAGGCUGAACCAGCCAAGUCGCGUGAAGGAAGAAGGAUCUCUGGUUUGUAAACUUCUUUUAUAGGGGAAUAAAGGUAUCCACGUGUGGAUAUUUGAAUGUACCCUAUGAAUAAGCAUCGUCCAACUCCGUGCCAGCAGCCGCGGUAAUACGGAGGAUGCGAGCGUUAUCCGGAUUUAUUGGGUUUAAAGGGUGCGUAGGUUGUUUUUUAAGUCAGCGGUGAAAGUUUGUGGCUCAACCAUAAAAUUGCCGUUGAAACUGGAAGACUGGAGUGUGUUUGAGGUAGGCGGAAUGCGUGGUGUAGCGGUGAAAUGAAUAGAUAUAACGCAGAACUCCGAUUGCGAAGGCAGCUUACUAAGCCAUAACUGACACUGAAGCACGAAAGCGUGGGGAUCAAACAGGAUUAGAUACCCGGGUAGUC